rnacentral:rRNA from 1 species
GAUGAACGCUGGCGGCGUGCUUAACACAUGCAAGUCGAACGAUGAAGCCCAGCUUGCUGGGUGGAUUAGUGGCGAACGGGUGAGUAACACGUGAGUAACCUGCCCUUAACUCUGGGAUAAGCCUGGGAAACUGGGUCUAAUACCGGAUAGGAGCGUCCACCGCAUGGUGGGUGUUGGAAAGAUUUAUCGGUUUUGGAUGGACUCGCGGCCUAUCAGCUUGUUGGUGAGGUAAUGGCUCACCAAGGCGACGACGGGUAGCCGGCCUGAGAGGGUGACCGGCCACACUGGGACUGAGACACGGCCCAGACUCCUACGGGAGGCAGCAGUGGGGAAUAUUGCACAAUGGGCGCAAGUCUGAUGCAGCGACGCCGCGUGAGGGAUGACGGCCUUCGGGUUGUAAACCUCUUUCAGUAGGGAAGAAGCGAAAGUGACGGUACCUGCAGAAGAAGCACCGGCUAACUACGUG